GAUGAACGCUGGCGGCGUGCCUAAUACAUGCAAGUCGAGCGAACAGACGAGGAGCUUGCUCCUCUGACGUUAGCGGCGGACGGGUGAGUAACACGUGGAUAACCUACCUAUAAGACUGGGAUAACUUCGGGAAACCGGAGCUAAUACCGGAUAAUAUAUUGAACCGCAUGGUUCAAUAGUGAAAGACGGUUUUGCUGUCACUUAUAGAUGGAUCCGCGCCGCAUUAGCUAGUUGUUAAGGUAACGGCUUACCAAGGCAACGAUGCGUAGCCGACCUGAGAGGGUGAUCGGCCACACUGGAACGGAGACACGGUCCAGACUCCUACGAGAGGCAGCAGUAGGGAAUCUUCCGCAAUGGGCGAAAGCCUGACGGAGCAGCGCCGCGUGAGUGAUGAAGGUCUUCGGAUCGUAAAACUCUGUUAUUAGGGAAGAACAAAUGUGUAAGUAACUAUGCACGUCUUGACGGUACCUAAUCAGAAAGCCACGGCUAACUACGUG
rnacentral:rRNA from 1 species